UUGCGUCCUCCUCCAAGUCAGCAGUUUAAUGACGUUGUCGACCUACAGACCUAUUGUGCGCGAGUGAUCGAGGGGUAGAGGGUGUAAGAGAGGAUCCUCAAAACUUCCAUCACACGCGUUGCAUUACUCGUUCGAACCAGGGAGGGUAUUCCUGAAUGCAGUGUCAUAGACACAGGGUAUGUGUCAGCCAGCUCCAUAGUUAGGGCACUGAUCAGGGAGUCGGCCAUUUUACGGACUAUCUCAAUUGUAAAAUCGUUCCAGUGCAAUGUAACGUUCGCUCCCUAAAAUAAUCCCACAAUGCACCACAGGAAAUCCAGCGUACCGAUGCUCACUGUGUCCCCCUACUGGAAAUGAUCAUGUUUUCUGGAAAAGAUGGAGGAUGAACUCUCAGCCAACUUCCGGCAACAAUUGACUUUUAGUAUCGCACCUCCAGAGACACACAGACCUUCUCAAAUAUGCACAAGAAUGCUAGUGUCUUCCUUCACCUCAGCAACUGUUUGUUUUUCCCUACCUGUGAAAGAUGGUCCUACUGGUGUUUGCCUGCCAGAGUAAUGUACUUGUCCGUUUUCUUACAAAAUAUGCACGAGAUACUGGCAGACCCGUCCUGGACCUAAGUUUCUUUGUCGGAUAUUGAGUUGUUGAAGUACUUCUACCUGAUGACACGGACUGGUCUUCGUGAGCAUCUUGAGCAUCAGAACGCAAUGUGACGCGUUUCUCGGCCACGUCCAAGUGCUUUUUGUCAAUUAAACACCUGUAGCAUGUGGAGUGAAACCCAGCGUCUUCGGGAACAUUGUCAAACUCGAUUUCUAGACAACGUUUGUAUGUUUCUGCUAUUCUCCGAUUCUCACCGUGCAAGCCAAGCCACUGUUUCUGAAUGUAUCCCACUGUGUGCGUGUAAACCCCUUUGUUUCUUCUUUCUUUAUGGGCGUGAGAUGCAUAUAGCACUGUUUAUAAUCCUUUUUCCGGAGUUUCGAAUGAGAUCUGGUCGUAAUUUCCUCUUUUUCGCUACUCGAUAUUGACGACAAGGGCGCAGACAUCUUGGACUCAUGUUUACGUGUCGUUCCAAAAAGUGGCCACCUUAUUGGUCUAGCGGGAAGCAUGUGACGAUUGGUCCGCGAAACCUCAUCACUCAUGAUCAAAAUAUGAUUACGCGAGGAAAGAACUAUUUCUGACUUUAAACACGAAUAAAAAAUAAACUGCAGGAUUACACAUGGAGAACUUUUAUUUUCUCGCUCAAGACCAACAGAUCUUUUUAUUACGGCCUAUUUUGAAAAGAGGGAAAAUCAAUCAGAGGUAUUGCACAAACACUGGACAUGGACAAUACAACAAUUUGGACUAUCCUGAAAAAGACAGAAUCCACUGGUGUAUUGAGCGACAA